CUCCAACUUCAGUCUUCUGCAUCAAGUCAAAACACAUGCUGUUUGUUAAAAUGCUUAUUUUUGUUUAUUCUUCUCUUCAGGUCCUGUUAACAUCAGGGAAACAUCUGCAGAUUACAGCAAGAGUUAACCACAGCUUUCCCAAAAGCUCUCAUCUGAGAUGAGUCCAAGCUGGAAUCUGGAUCCUGCAAGGCUGUCAUGUUGGGAUGCUGCAAAAGGCAUUGCUGCAUCUACUUGUUGUAGAGUUGUUGAAGUUUCCCUCUGUGCAGGGAAUGCAGCAGUUACGAACAGGAAACUAUUUUCCUUGCUUAGUGGUUUUCUUGUUACAGUUUUUAAGUGGGUUAACACUCUUAUUUCCAGGAAACUCAAACUAGAUUUGAACAGGGGUUAGAGGGAGGACGGAGGGAGAUUUAAGUGUGUAUGGUGUCUGAAAAAAUUAAACUAAAUAGUUUCCAGUGAUUAAAUAGCAGCAAGUUCAUCAAAAGCUCCAGUUAAGCCUUGGAGUCCUAUGGUAAGCUGCAAAUGAACACAGGGCACCUCCAAAAGACAUUGUUAGUGGCAUCUAUUUUAAACCUUCUUUCAAGUGGAAGAUCCAGGCCUGGCAAAUGCAAAACAUCAGCCCUUAGAAGAGCAAAUGACUUUCUCUAGAGAACUGAACAAUUGGCCAAAGUCUGUCCGUCUGUCUUCCUCUCUCUCUGCUCUGGAUUGCUGUGCUUUUAUAAACUGUGUUUUCGUAACUCAGAUAAAUGGUAGGAGUUUAACAGAACCCUACAAGUAAUAACCAUCCUAUUCAUGCUUAAUAUCUGUAAUAUCUAAGGGGUGGGCCCAAACUAGAGGUAUUUCUGUUUUCUCUGUGAAGCGUGUUGCUUUAACGUAUGUAUAGCCAAUUCUUGUUGUGAACAUGUGAAUCCAUUGCCUGUUUUAGAGGAGGCAGCAAUUUAGUUUCAGUAGCUGCAGAGAGUUUCACUGAAAUAGUGUUACUGAUUGCCUUUUGUGUGAUUUAGAAGGCACAUUAGCCAGAUAGUUCUGAAAGUGUGAUAUAAUUAUAUGCAGCGUUCAUGGGAAAUGCUCUGAAGUCUUCUCCCAUUGUGAUAAAAACUUUUAUCGCUCUUCGAGCUCCAUGAGUGUGUGCUGUGUGCUGUGCUGAAUUUGAUAGAAAACUCAGUUAUUACUGAACAGUGAGGGGUAGAGACAGAUCCUCUGACCUAGAUUCCCCCGCCUUUGACAGUGGCAAGUCACCUGUGCAUCCAAAGGUUAAUGACCAACUGAGUGUGUUGUCAGCUCUCCACCUAGGUGGGUGGGAGUGGAUAAAAGAGUAUUGAUUGUGGGAGGGGAGACUAGAUGGAAUAGUUAAGUAAAGGGGAUUCUAGGCAUCAUGGCUGGGAUCUUCA
rnacentral:lncRNA from 1 species